rnacentral:misc_RNA from 1 species
AAGUCGUAACAAGGUUUCCGUAGGUGAACCUGCGGAAGGAUCAUUAUCGAACGCACUUGGUUGGGUUGUUGCUGGCUCCCAGGAGCAUGUGCACAUCCAAUCCAUUUUAACCACCUGUGCACCUUGUGUAGAUCUGAAUAACCCUCGAGUAGCCUCGGUUUGAGGAUUGCCGUGUAAAAAUCGGCUGUCCCUUGCAUUCAGACCUAUGUUUUCCACAUACUCCACGUGAAUGUAUCAGAAUGUUGCUUAAUUGGCCUUUGUGCCGUAAAAAUAAAAUACAACUUUCAACAACGGAUCUCUUGGCUCUC